GUCUUUAUGUGUUAAAUAUAAAGUUUGACCUGCCCUUUGUUUAUAUUAACGGCCGCAGUAUUUUGACUGUGCUAAGGUAGCAUAAUAAAUAGGUUAUUAAUUGUGAUCUGGAAUGAAAGGUUUGACGUGAAAAUGACUUUCUUAUUUAUUUUUGUGAAUUUAAACUAUUAGUAAAAAUGCUAAUAUUUCAUGAUUAGACGAGAAGACCCUGUUAAGUUUUACAUCUGAUAUUUUUUAUGGUAAUUGGGGUUAUUGGUGUUUAAUUGGGGCGAUUAACAACAUUAACAUUGUUAUGAUUAUUUUAUAUAAAAAUUUAUGAACCAAAAUUUUUGGUUAAGAGAAUAAAUUACUAUAGGGAUAACAGCGUAAUUAAAUUGUAGAGUUCUUAUCGAUAAUAUAGAUUACGACCUCGAUGUUGGAUCAGGGUGUUCUAUUAGGUGUAGCAGCUUAAUAAGAUGGUCUGUUCGACCUUUAAACCCCUACG
rnacentral:rRNA from 1 species